CGUACUACAAUGGUAGGGACAGAGGGCUGCAAGCCGGCGACGGUAAGCCAAUCCCAGAAACCCUAUCUCAGUCCGGAUUGGAGUCUGCAACUCGACUCCAUGAAGUCGGAAUCGCUAGUAAUCGCAGAUCAGCAUUGCUGCGGUGAAUACGUUCCCGGGCCUUGUACACACCGCCCGUCACACCAUGGGAGUUUGUUGCACCAGAAGCAGGUAGCUUAACCUUCGGGAGGGCGCUUGCCACGGUGUGGCCGAUGACUGGGGUGAAGUCGUAACAAGGUAGCCGUAUCGGAAGGUGCGGCUGGAUCACCUCCUUU
rnacentral:rRNA from 1 species